GGCCUAUUAGCUCAGCUGGUUAGAGCGUGGUCCUAAUAAGGCCAAGGUCGCAGGUUCGAGACCUGCAUGGCCCA
rnacentral:tRNA from 2 species